rnacentral:lncRNA from 1 species
UAUGAUGUGGAUAAGAAGCAAAAUUUUCUCAUGCGGGUUGCUUUGCUAUGGACCAUUAGUGACUUUCCUGCUUAUGCCAUGCUUUCUGGUUGGAGCACUGCAGGAAGGCUUGCAUGCCCAUAUUGUAUGGAUAACACUGAUGCAUUUACUUUGCCAAGAGGUGGCAAACAAUUUUGGUUUGACAAUCAUCACAAAUUUUUGAACCAUAACCAUCCAUGGCGGAAGAAUAAAUCAUGGUUUAGAAAAAACAAAGUUGUAACUGAACAUGCACCUUUAGUAAGGACUGGAGAGGAAAUUUUGCAUGAGAUAGAGAGUAUUGGAUUAAUGAGAGUGACAGAUCCAGGUUCAGAUGUUGUUAAUGCUGUUAUUAGUAAGACAUGUGGAUGGAGGAAACACAACAUAUUCUGGGAUUUACCUUUGUAAUACCCGGCUAGACUCCGGUAUCAGAAUUCCUACCGUCCGGUGGAAUCUCGAAUGUCGGAAGCCUCUAGUAGGGUAGAAACAUGUUUUCAUAAAAUGUUUUAAGGUAUUUCAUGGUUUUAAGUAUGAAGAUUUAAGUUGUUUUUGCAUGAAAAGCCUUUGGAGGAAAACCCAGGUUCGGCCGCCGAAAGUCAAGUUCGGCCGCUGAACAUGCAUGCGUUUUGGAGGCACGUUAGGCCCCCGAAAGCAUGAGUGAGGGAAGUUCAGGUUCGGCCGCCGAAAGUGAAGUUCGGCCGCCGAACAUGGCAUGCAUGCGGAAGCACUUUCGGCCCCCGAACGUGGCCUGGCCAGCCACCUAUAAAAGGGUCACUUAGCCGAAAUGGGCGAGCUUUCUCCCAUUUUCGGCCAUAGCUAGCUUCCGACCUCCCUCUCCCCAGAUCUUGUGUUCUUUCUCCAAAUCUCCUCCAUUUUUCUUGAGUUUUCACCUCUCAUUGCAAGUUUUGAGCAUUUAAGACAAGUUUUGGAGCUUUGGGAACUCAGGAGCUCAUUUGCUUGGAUCUCCGAGUUUAGGUCUCUCUCCCUCGAUCUUCAAGAGGUAAGAGCCGAUCUUAAGCUCAUUGUAUGUUUUAAGUAAGUUUUAAGUUGUUUUAUGGGGUAGAGAUGCAUGUUAGGCUUUAAGUUGAGUUUAUGGGUUUUGAUGAUGAUUUGAACAAUGUAUGUUGAUUGUGUGUGUUUGAAGUGUUGUAGUUGGGGUAUUUGAUAGUUUGAGACCCCUAGGUGUGAUAUAUGGUGUGUAUGCAUGUUUUAGAACAAGUUUAUGCAUGUUGGAAGAGUUAGGAGGCAAAUGUGCACAAAGGAGCCAAGUUUCUGCCCUUUGGCAGAAACCAGGUUCGGCAGCCGAAGGAGCUUUCGGCCGCCGAACAUGGCUAGGGAGGCAGGCCUUUCGGCUGCCGAAGUUGCCCCCGAAAGGAGACUUUCGUCUCUGUCUGGCACUUUCGGCCGCCGAACAUGCAUGAGUUUCGCCUCUGUCUGGGAGUUUCGGCCGCCGAAGGUGCCGCCGAACCUGCCUGACUUUCGGCUCUGGAGGGACUUUCGGCCGCCGAACCUGCCGCCGAAAGUGUCCUGUCCAGCCAUUUCUUGCGUGUUUUUAUGUAGUUGUUUUAUGAUGUUUUAGGGGGUUUUUGGGGAGUAUAUUAGAGUUAUGUUUUUGUAUGUUUGGUCCCUCAUUGGAGUCCACCUGUAUAGGUUCGGACCCGAGGAACCGAGGACCCCAGCAGUGAGCCGGCUGCUACAGAGUUUGUCAGAGCUAGCCAGAGGUGAGUGGAAUAAACUUUAAGUUUUAAAAUAAUUGAAAUAUAAAUUUCGAGCAUGAUCCAUGCAUCACGAAUGCCAUGAGAUAUAGUAGGUUGUUUGCAUUAGUAUUCACGAAUAUGUUGCAUUGCAUUUAUAAUGUUGAUGUGGAUUGGUUAUUGGAUGAUCCUUUAGUCCUCAUAUGAUAUGAUGAGGUUAUGGCAUGAGAUGGUAUGGAAGUCCAGGUUGUACCCAUUCUACGUCCCUGGCACAUUGGUAUGUUAUGAUAUGUUAUGUAAGAGAAAGACCGGUUGUACCCAUUCUACGUCCCGGCACAGUUGGACUAUGUAGAGGACUAUUGGUGACAAUACCAUCCGAGAUGUGAUUUGUUGUGAUGUGUUGCAUUUCAUGAUAGCAUGAAAUUUUAAUAUAUGAUUUCAUUAUUCUGCUCACUGGGCUUUGUAGCUCACCCCUCUCCCCUAACCCCAGAUGUGCAGGUACAGGGUAGACCAGGAGGUUAGCCAGAGUUUUGAAGUAUGUGUAUGUAAUAGUUAGAUUGUGGACAUGACAAUUGUACUAUGAUGUAAUGUAAGAUAUUACAGUAUGUUAUGUAAUGAGGUAUAUUGAGGUUAUAGAUGUGCUUGACCCUAUGAGUAUUGUUAUCCCUUUUGAUACAUGAUCUAUAGUUAUGUUUUAUAAUGUUUAUGAAAGCCAACUCAUCUCAUGAUGUAUUGCCCAUUGAGGCAUUGUUGAGAUCCCACAGAGGGAUCAUGAUUAUGAUUAUGACUAUGCACAGUAUAUGUUCAGGUUGAGUUGGAUAUUUGAAAGAAAGGUUUUAAAUUUUUAUGCUUGUUGUUGAUCAUGUAUGGGAUUAUACAGGUUUACAGGUUAUAUGUUUGGCUUGCUACGGGUCCCGGCGGCCUUAAGUCGACCCGGAUCCUAGCGCCGGUAGCGGUCCGAUUUUCGGGUCGUUACAACCUUAUUGGAGUUCCUUGCUUAUUAGACACAACCUUGAUGUAAUGCAUAUUGAAAAGAAUUUUUUUGAUAACUUGUUCAAUACCAUUAUGAAUAUAGAGGGUAAAACAAAAGAUAAUGCAAAAGCAAGAGAAGAUAUGAGGGAAAUAUGUCGGCGGCCUGAGUUGGAGGUUAAUGCAGAAACUGGCAGGUAUCCAAAAGCAAUAUAUGCAUUGGACAAACCGGCAAAACAAGUUAUUUGUGAAUGGAUGAAGGGACUCAGAUUUCCUGAUAGUUAUGUGUCUAACAUGGCUCGAUGUGUCGACAUGAACAAGUACAGAUUAUUUGGAAUGAAAAGUCAUGAUUGUCAUAUUUUCAUGCAAAGGUUGUUGCCUAUUGCUUUUCGUGAAUUAUUACCAAUGAGAGUGUGGGAAGCAAUUACCGAGCUAAGUAUUUUCUUUAAGCAACUAACGAGUACGAUCUUACAGGAGGAAGAUAUGCAAAGGCUUGAAGAG